GGAUCACCUCCUUAGAGUUUGAUCCUGGCUCAGGCUGGAUCACCUCCUUAGAGUUUGAUCCUGGCUCAGAGCGAACGCUGGCGGCAGGCCUAACACAUGCAAGUCGAACGAACUCUUCGGAGUUAGUGGCGGACGGGUGAGUAACACGUGGGAACGUGCCUUUAGGUUCGGAAUAACUCAGGGAAACUUGUGCUAAUACCGAAUGUGCCCUUCGGGGGAAAGAUUUAUCGCCUUUAGAGCGGCCCGCGUCUGAUUAGCUAGUUGGUGAGGUAAAGGCUCACCAAGGCGACGAUCAGUAGCUGGUCUGAGAGGAUGAUCAGCCACAUUGGGACUGAGACACGGCCCAAACUCCUACGGGAGGCAGCAGUGGGGAAUCUUGCGCAAUGGGCGAAAGCCUGACGCAGCCAUGCCGCGUGAAUGAUGAAGGUCUUAGGAUUGUAAAAUUCUUUCAGUAGGGACGAUAAUGACGGACCACAGAA
rnacentral:ncRNA from 3 species